rnacentral:rRNA from 1 species
CGCCAGACUCCUACGGGAGGCAGCAGUGGGGAAUAUUGCACAAUGGGGGAAACCCUGAUGCAGCAACGCCGCGUGAGUGAAGAAGUAUUUCGGUAUGUAAAGCUCUAUCAGCAGGGAAGAAGAUGACGGUACCUGACCAAGAAGCUCCGGCUAACUACGUGCCAGCAGCCGCGGUAAUACGUAGGGGGCAAGCGUUAUCCGGAUUUACUGGGUGUAAAGGGAGCGCAGACGGCAGUGCAAGUCUGGAGUGAAAGCCCGGGGCCCAACCCCGGGACUGCAUUUGGAACUGUGCUGCUAGAGUGUCGGAGAGGCAGGCGGAAUUCCUAGUGUAGCGGUGAAAUGCGUAGAUAUUAGGAGGAACACCAGUGGCGAAGGCGGCCUGCUGGACGAUGACUGACGUUGAGGCUCGAAAGCGUGGGGAGCAAACAGGAUUAGAUACCCCGGUAGA